ensembl:lncRNA
CUUCAUUGAACACUUUGUGAACCCUGCUAAUCUGCGCACAGCAGGAGCUUUUCAGGGUUUGAAAGGGAACGGGACAUGGCUAGCCUUCCUGCCACUGGCGCCAGUGGAGACCAGUUCGACCAGUCUCCUCGUAUUGGCCUUCAUCACCAUUAUAGUUGCCCUUGUCUCUCUCUUACUGCUCUGCCACUUGCUGGUCUUCCACAUAUAUCUCUUAUCUAAAGGAAUGAGCACAUACGAGUAUAUUGUGAAGCAGCGUCAGCUACAGAGUGCCAGGGAGCAGAAAGCAGGAGGCACUCAGCUGUCUCCAUCUCCUGCUGUAGCCAAGGGCCUUGGUCAUUUGGACAUGCCUAUAGACUGUGAUGCUCCUCUAUCAAGCAGACCAAGUGUCUUCAAAUACCAAGACAGAGGAGAGAUUUCCAGUCAUCUGUCAGGACCCAUCUGUUCAGAGAUGGAUCAUUUUCCUCAUGCAAGUGAUGGAGAGAAUUAUCUUAACUAUGGUUCAAAAGCAUUGCAAAUGGUGCCAGG